rnacentral:rRNA from 1 species
CCUACGGGAGGCAGCAGUGAGGAAUAUUGGUCAAUGGGCUUACGCCUGAACCAGCCAAGUCGCGUGAGUGAAGACUGCCCUAUGGGUUGUAAACCUCUUUUGUCAGGGAGCAACGCCGGCUACGUGUAGCCGGACUGAGCGUACCUGAAGAAAAAGCAUCGGCUAACUCCGUGCCAGCAGGCGCGGUAAUACGGAGGAUGCGAGCGUUAUCCGGAUUUAUUGGGGUUAAGGGGGGCGUAGGCGGAAUGACAAGUCAGCGGAAAAAUCGAGAGGCUCAACCGCUUUCCGCUGUGGAAACGGUCGGUCUUGAGGGGGCGAGAAGUAUGCGGAAUGCGAGGUGUAGCGGUGAAAUGCAUAGAUAU